AAUCGAAUAAAAAUAUCAGAAUAAUGACAAGUUUUUAUUAAGACGUCAAAUUUAAUAUCGUACUUCUUUUUAUAGACCUUCAAAUAUUUAGUGAAAACGGCUGUUAGUUUAAAAAGUUGGCGUGGUGUAUUUCGGAAAAAACGUAAACAGAAAUAUUUUGAAUAUCACUCAACGUCGUCAGAUUCGACAAUGGAAUCCAAUCUGAGCAGGAUAUUGAACAUGAACCGACAGCAGCUCAAUGGACAGUUGUAUAAAUAUACAAAUGUAAUGAAAGGAUGGCAAUAUCGUUGGUUCGUCGUAGAUGCACAAGCUGGUCUUCUUAGUUACUAUUUGUGCGAUCAAUCGAAUGACGAUACCAAUCCUCACAUCGUCGGUAACUCACCCAGAGGUCAAGUUCAUCUCGCUGGAGCAGUAAUCUGUCCAAGCGAUGAGGAUUCAAAAACUUUUACAGUAAAUUGUGCGUCGGGUGAUAUGCUGAAGUUACGAGCCGGUGAUGCUCGCGCAAGACAAGAAUGGGUUGACGGCUUACGAGCUAUCGUAGAAAGUCAUUCAAACUCAGCAACAUCACUUGCUCCAAGAGAUCAGCUGGCGGCUCACGAUGCAUUUGGAGCAGCACGACAGCAAAUGCAGCAAACAGAAUUAAGUAAUGCGGCGCUUGCUCGAGCAAUUGAAAGCGUUAGUAAUCCGUUAUUGCCAACGGAUCCAGAUUUACUAAUGUUGAAAGCCCUCUCUGCUGCCAGUACACACUGUUUAUUACAGUGCUUAGGACUUUUGCAGCGAUAUAAUGAGUUUGCUGAUACACGAAAUGAACCAGCGUUUUAACAUGACGCAAUUUGUUUUUCUUGAGAUCUUAUUUAUGGCCAUUAUUACAAAUAUAUUUCAACGGAUAUAUAUUUAUCAAAAGAAACAUCUGUGAGCCGAAACAAAAACAGCGGAUCGUUACGUUUGCUUUAUCUUUGAAAAUGUAUUCAAUAAAUACGCUGUCCUUUUCUAUCCAUUUUUCUACAACACCAUGGGAAGCACAUUUUUUAAUGGCUGCUUCCAAACGGGCAUCCAAUGCUUCAUUAGAUGCCAAAGUUGGCAAAAUGGAUUGUUUCACUGCGAUUGGAUCGGGAAGCUUUGGGCCAUAAUACUCCUCAGUUACUCCUGCGCGUGCUGAAUGGGAAGAAGACUCUGCUGAUACAGGUUGUUGAGGUGCCUUGGUUCCUAGUGAUUGCGGAGUUACUUUAAUUUCUAGUAUACUUUUGAAGAUACCACGCGGUGGGGAAUCGUUUCUAAGGACAUUAAUUUCACUCGCUGGUUUUAUGGCAACAAGACU